rnacentral:rRNA from 1 species
UACAGAGGGGGCGAGCGUUAUUCGGAAUUAUUGGGCGUAAAGGGCGCGUAGGCGGCUUUUCAAGUGACGGGUGAAAUCCCUCGGCUUAACCGAGGAACUGCCUGUCAGACUGGAAGGCUUGAGACCGGGAGAGGUGAGUGGAAUUCCCAGUGUAGCGGUGAAAUGCGUAGAUAUUGGGAGGAACACCAGUGGCGAAGGCGGCUUUCUGGCCUGUUCUUGACGCUGAGGCGCGAAAGCCAGGGGAGCAAACGGG